GCCGCGUGAGUGAUGAAGGCCCUAGGGUUGUAAAGCUCUUUUGUGCGGGAAGAUAAUGACGGUACCGCAAGAAUAAGCCCCGGCUAACUUCGUGCCAGCAGCCGCGGUAAUACGAAGGGGGCUAGCGUUGCUCGGAAUCACUGGGCGUAAAGGGUGCGUAGGCGGGUCUUUAAGUCAGGGGUGAAAUCCUGGAGCUCAACUCCAGAACUGCCUUUGAUACUGAGGAUCUUGAGUUCGGGAGAGGUGAGUGGAACUGCGAGUGUAGAGGUGAAAUUCGUAGAUAUUCGCAAGAACACCAGUGGCGAAGGCGGCUCACUGGCCCGAUACUGACGCUGAGGCACGAAAGCGUGGGGAGCAAAC
rnacentral:rRNA from 1 species